UACGAAGGGGGCUAGCGUUGCUCGGAAUUACUGGGCGUAGAGCGCACGUAGGCGGCUUUCUAAGUCGGGGGUGAAAUCCUGGAGCUCAACUCCAGAACUGCCUUCGAUACUGGAGAGCUUGAGUCCGGGAGAGGUGAGUGGAACUGCGAGUGUAGAGGUGAAAUUCGUAGAUAUUCGCAAGAACACCAGUGGCGAAGGCGGCUCACUGGCCCGGUACUGACGCUGAGGUGCGAAAGCGUGGGGAGCAAACAGGG
rnacentral:rRNA from 1 species